rnacentral:rRNA from 1 species
AGUGAACGCUGGCGGUAGGCCUAACACAUGCAAGUCGAACGGCAGCACAGUAAGAGCUUGCUCUUACGGGUGGCGAGUGGCGGACGGGGGAGGAAUACAUCGGAAUCUACUUUUUCGUGGGGGAUAACGUAGGGAAACUUACGCUAAUACCACAUACGACCUACGGGUGAAAGCAGGUGAUCUUCAGACCUUGCGCGAUUGAAUGAGCCGAUGUCGGAUUAGCUAGUUGGCGGGGUAAAGUAACACCGAGGCGACGAUCCGUACAUGGUCUGAGCGGAUGGUAAGCCACACUGGAACUGAGACACGGCCCAGACUACAACGGGAGGCAGCAGUGGGGAAAAGAGGACAAUGGGAGCAAGGUGGAUCUAGCCAAACCGAGUGGGUGAAGAAGGCCUUCGGGUUGUAAAGCUAUUUUGUUGGGAAAGAAAAGCAGCAGGUUAAUCCCCCGAUGUUCUGACGGUACCCAAAGAAUAAGCACCGGCUAACUUCGUG